GACAGAGGCCUCAAGCGUUAGGCGGAAUCACUGGGCUUAAAGCGUGUGUAGGCGGAUCGUUAAGUGUCUUGUGAAAUCCCCACGGCUCACCCGUGGAACUGCUUGGCAUACUGGCGAUCUUGAGCCACUUAGGGGCAACCGGAACAAACGGUGGAGCGGUGAAAUGCGUAGAUAUCGUUUGGAACGCCAAUGGUGAAAACAGGUUGCUGGGAGUGCG
rnacentral:rRNA from 1 species